rnacentral:rRNA from 1 species
CCCUUAGAUGUUCUGGGCCGCACGCGCGCUACACUGAUGCAUUCAACGAGUCUAAAACCUGCUCUGAUAGGGGUGGGUAAUCUUUUGAAUGUGCAUCGUGAUUGGGAUAGAUGAUUGCAAUUUUUCAUCUUCAACGAAGAAUGCCUAGUAAACGCAAGUCAUCAGCUUGCAUUGAUUACGUCCCUGCCCUUUGUACACACCGCCCGUCGCUCCUACCGAUUGAAUGAUCCGAUGAAUAUCAUGGAUUGAGGAUUAUAGCAGGUUCGCCUGUCUUGAUCUUCGAGAAGUGAAGUAAAUCUUAUCAUUUAGAGGAAGGAGAAGUCGUAACA